rnacentral:tRNA from 1 species
GGAGAGGUGGCUCAGUGGUUAAGAGCACUGACUGCUCUUCCAGAGGUCCUGAGUUCAAAUCCCAGCAACCUCA